UACCGCAAUAUAAAUUAUGACAAAUAGAAUCUUAAAACAAUGUUGUACAAUAAGUGUAGUGGGUUUUACACGGCUUAUAAUAAACGUAGAUGAGAUAACCGUCCAUCAUUGACAGAAAUUAAAAUUCUUUUCUUUUUUUUUUAGGAAAGAAUUUACGAAUAUAUUUAUACAUAUAUGUACACAUUAUUUCCAUUAGUUCCUGAUCGAAAAUUGAAUGUAUUUAAUUAACGACCAACGUUCCAAUUAUUUGUUUGUUAAUAAUGAUAAGAAACUAUGAGUCAUAUCAUAU